rnacentral:rRNA from 1 species
CAUGUCCUUUUGAUUAUAAUUUAAGGUCUAAUCUGCUCAAUGAUUAUUUAAAUAGCCGCGAUAUUUUGAUCGUGCGAAGGUAGCAUAAUCAUUAGUUUCUUAAUUAGGAGCUGGAAUGAAUGAUUGGACGAGAUAAUAACUGUCUCAUAAAUAAUAUUAGAAGUUUAUUUUUAAGUUAAAAAGCUUAAAUGUUUUAAAAAGACGAGAAGACCCUAUAGAGUUUUAUGAAGUAAAAAUUAAGAAUUUUAGGUAUUAAUAAUUUUUAAUUUUAAAUUCAUUUGGUUGGGGUGACUGAAAAAUUUAAUGAACUUUUUCUUUUUAAAAUACAAAUUAGUAGAUAAAUGAUUUAUUUUUAAUAAUUAAAAGAUUUAAUUACCUUAGGGAUAACAGCGUUAUUUUUCUUGAGAGUUCUUAUCGAAAGAAAAGUUUGCGACCUCGAUGUUGGAUUAAAAUUUAAUUUAGGUGUAGGAGCUUAAAUAUUUUAGUCUGUUCGACUAUUAAAAUUUUACAUGAUCUGAGU